rnacentral:rRNA from 1 species
AUUGAACGCUGGCGGCAUGCCUUACACAUGCAAGUCGAACGGCAGCACGGGGGCAACCCUGGUGGCGAGUGGCGAACGGGUGAGUAAUGCAUCGGAACGUGCCCAGUAGUGGGGGAUAACUAGUCGAAAGAUUAGCUAAUACCGCAUACGACCUAUGGGUGAAAGCGGGGGAUUCGCAAGAACCUCGCGCUAUCGGAGCGGCCGAUGUCUGAUUAGCUAGUUGGCGGGGUAAAAGCCCACCAAGGCUUCGAUCAGUAGCUGGUCUGAGAGGACGACCAGCCACACUGGGACUGAGACACGGCCCAGACUCCUACGGGGAGGCAGCAGUGGGGAAUUUUGGACAAUGGGCGCAAGCCUGAUCCAGCCAUGCCG